CCUGAUACCUCAGUUGGUAAAGAAUCUGCCUGCAAUGCAGAAGACCCUGGUUUGAUUCCUGGGUCAGGA
rnacentral:tRNA from 1 species